rnacentral:lncRNA from 1 species
UAAGUAAGACUGGACACUCAGUUCACUACAUCGAUCAGUGUAUCCAAUGUUCCCAGCAGAUGCUGAAGAAUCCCAAGCUGGAGAAGGCGGAGAUCCUGGAGCGGGCUGUGCAGCACAUGAGGAGAUGGACCCUGCUGGGACACUACGGGUGGCCAGAGGGGGCGCCAGAACGGAGUUACGAGCACGGGUUCGUGGGCUGCCUCCGCACCGUGGGCGAGUUUCUGGAGGGCGGGGAGGGUGCCCGAGCCCCCAGAGCGAAACGCAGACUGCUACUGGACCACCUGCCCUCACCGGCCAGCCAAGACCCAGAUCGGACCCAAACGCGACUCCACGACCCGUCCUCGCCUUCCUCCGCCCUGAGCAUACAUGGGCACUGCCCCUGCCCAGCAGCAGAGGGCGCCCUGCUGGACCGACGAAGUGCUGGCAGCUGCCAGUCUGGGACUGAGACCCUGGUGCCACAGGGAGAGGUUGGCAGUGCUGUGCUGGGAGAGGAGGCGGAGGGAUCUUGUGGGACAGUCUACAGUUACCAUGGUCACAAUGCCCAGGGCACGGCCCUCUGUGCACGGCACCCUCCACCACAGACUGCAGUGCCUUUGCACAAUGUGUGGCGGCCCUGGCCUUAGAAACAAAUAGACUGUACAUGGACAAGUGGGGGUUGACCCACUGCUAUGGGACUAAAGCCCUGCUGUAUUUAUAGAGAGUAUUUAAUUAUCAAUUACUCAAAACCUGGAGUGGAAAUGGCUGUUUUGACUAGAAGGUUGUCACUUCUGAUCUUCCUCAAAUUCAGAUUUGACUUGUGAGCAGUUUUAAAUCAAUCUGAAAGGUUCAAUAUCACCAUUUAUGCCCAAACUGCACAGAUCUUAGUCUUUUCCUCAGAUCAAUCGAUGCUGCAGCCCCCUCCUUAAAUCCUUAUUAUGAGCACAUGUGAGACCCGUGGGCAAGAGUCUUGAUUCACCGGCGUCGUCAGUAGCAUAAUUACAGCCGAAAUCAUCAUUGUCUUCAUCUUCAUCAUCCCCCAGGACUGCUGUCAUCAUAGUAACUGUAAUUACUGUCAUUAUCGUCAUCAUCAUCACCACCCAUACCGUCACUGUCAUUAUCAUCGCCAUCAUCAUCAUCUUUAUUGUUAUUACAGUGGAAGUCUUGUCUCCCUGUGCCUGAGCCUUCCUCGCCUGCUCUGAGUUGAUCUCUAUUUUCUGUUGUUUCUCUGCUGUCUGUGCUUUUCCUGUCCUUAACACAUAUAUAUAUAUAUCUGUAUUAUAGUUCCCAUA